CUAAGCCAUGCAUGUCUAAGUAUAAACGCUUCUAUACUGUGAAACUGCGAAUGGCUCAUUAAAUCAGUUAUAGUUUAUUUGAUGGUUUCUUACUACUUGGAUAACCGUGGUAAUUCUAGAGCUAAUACAUGCACAAAGUCCCGACUGUUCGGAAGGGAUGUAUUUAUUAGAUCCAAAACCAAUGCGAGUCUUUCGGGGCUCGGUUUCUUGGUGAUUCAUGAUAACUGCUCGAACCGUAUGGCCUUUGCGCCGACGGUGCUUCAUUCAAAUUUCUGCCCUAUCAACUUUCGAUGGUACGGUAGUGGCCUACCAUGGUUGCAACGGGUGACGGAGAAUUAGGGUUCGAUUCCGGAGAGGGAGCCUGAGAAACGGCUACCACAUCCAAGGAAGGCAGCAGGCGCGCAAAUUACCCAAUCCCGACUCGGGGAGGUAGUGACAAUAAAUAACAAUGCCGGGCUAUUGUAGUCUGGCAAUUGGAAUGAGUACAAUCUAAAUCCCUUAACGAGGAACAAUUGGAGGGCAAGUCUGGUGCCAGCAGCCGCGGUAAUUCCAGCUCCAAUAGCGUAUAUUAAAGUUGUUGCAGUUAAAAAGCUCGUAGUUGGAUUUCGGGGUGGCCUGGCUGGUCCACCGCAAGGUGAGUACUGGUCAGCCGCCCUUCCUCUCGAAAGCCCCGACUGCUCUUCAUUGUAGUGGUCGGGUAGUUCGGGACGUUUACUUUGAAAAAAUUAGAGUGUUCAAGGCAGGCUAUCGCCUGAAUACAUUAGCAUGGAAUAAUGGAAGAGGACCUCGGUCCUAUUUUGUUGGUUUCUAGGGCCGAAGUAAUGAUUAAGAGGGACAGUUGGGGGCAUUCGUAUUUAAUUGUCAGAGGUGAAAUUCUUGGAUUUAUGAAAGACGAACUAGUGCGAAAGCAUUUGCCAAGGAUGUUUUCAUUAAUCAAGAACGAAAGUUAGGGGUUCGA
rnacentral:rRNA from 1 species